CCCUGCUAUAGCAUAAAGUCAUGUGAAUUCCAACAGGGAUUCUCCAAAAUGCACAGCUUUGCAAUCAUCAUGCACUAAGAACCAUAAUAACCUUAUCCAGAUGUCAUAUGAGCUGAAGGCCUGAUCUAGGAAUCUGGGCACCUUCCCUGUGUGUGCAGUUUUGUAUGUCCAACUCAGCAUAGAAAUGGGUCUUCACGUUUGGGAUUCUGUGAAGCUCUGAACAAAUGCAUAACAAGAAAGGCACUCAGAACGUAACAGUCUGCCAAGUUGUCUAUCAUGGAGAACACUUUCCAACCCCUGCAGGAAACACUAACAUCAUUGGGCAGCUCCUUCAGUGAGACUGCUUCACCCGCGGUGUCUCAAGGAGAGAUACCGCAGGCCCUUCCUGUUGCAAUCAGACUGUUCAAUCAAGCCUUUUCCCAGUAGUUCAUGUCCUCUGUGCACAUGAAUGCUCUUAAGCGAUGGCCUGAACGUGUGGCCCAAGGUGAAGGAAUCCAAUUCUGUAUUUCAGGAAGUGAAACUAAAUCAGAAAAAAAUUGGGUUCACUUCCAACCAUAGUAAUAGCUAAUUUGAAAAAAAUACGCGUGAGUCUGGUACGUCGCUGCGAUGGCCGAGUGGUUAAGGCGUUGGACUUGAAAUCCAAUGGGAUCUUCCCGCGCAGGUUCGAACCCUGCUCGCAGCGUACUUUUUCCUCAAUUCGUCGAAUGUCUUUGUAAUGACAUGCCGGCCCCUUCCGUACCGUACAUAGAAUGUUGCGUUUGUGAGUAUUUAUCACGUUUUCGAGCUUACCUUCUCUCUAAUGUUGUGCUACAGCGGUGGAAAAAACAUGGCGGCCAAACCAAACUUUACGCACGCCCCCUUACGUCACGUGACCCGUUCAGUACACGGUUUGGUUUGGAUCUGUUUGGACCUGGUUUGGACCUCGCUAGAAACUCUUUGAUCUUGUUAGGAAUAUGUUCGAACCUCCGUUCGGACUUGUUUGGAAUUUUUGUAAGGCGUUAGGACCAUUAGGCAGUCCAUUUACUGGCAGAUGACCAAGACAGGAAAGCCAGAUAGUUACUGGAGGGACAUCUGUUUCAAAUAUGCUCAAGGCCAAUUCCACUUUUCAACUGGCAAACGCCCUGGGUCCAAGAAAUGGAAAAAAGCCUUGGAAAAAUUGAUGCUUGCCCUUUGCAGAGCCAUACUAAGGAUCUGUUUGGGAGAAGUCUUCAGUGCACCUGUGGGUUCCACAAGGCUAAAAAAAAAGCUGCUCAAGAGGAUGAAGCGCUAGUGUCAAGGGGGGAACCACCAAAGAAGAGGCUGGCAAAGGAAAAGUACCAUUACACCUGCAAGCAGUGUGGCCAGGACAAAAGUAAAAGGACUGGACACACCCAGAUGAAGGGUCGAUGGUAUUGUCCAGCCUCAGGACUGACCCUGGAUGAAUGGAGGAAGACUUUACAGUAAAUGCUGUCACUGUGACUUGUUCUCCCAUUUUAUGUCUCUGUUUGUCUGUCUGUUGGACAGUUUGUGAGACAGUGUUCAUUGCACGCUGCAAUAAAGUUUUAAUAUAUUUGUUUGAGCAAAAAUAUGCCUUCACGUUUUUAUCUAAUCUCCUGAGGACACUCUUUAGACUUAGGACAGUGAGUGUAAUACACUGAGUAACUAAAUUCAGAAUUAAUUUUACAGCUGGUGACAAAACAAACACUUUGCUAAAUUUGAAAUGUGUUUAUUUAUUGUGCUGCCCUAAACUAGUCUCUCAAAUAACUGAGUUUAUCAAAAAGUGAAGGGACAGUCCAAAUCACUCUGGUACAGGGAGGUUGCCGGUUCAAAUCCCUCAAGAAACAUAAUAAUUGUAGUAAUGUUAUACCUUGAAAUAAGUGCUGAAGCAAUAAACAAUGGUAAGAAGCCCUCAGAGUAGAAAACAGAAUUUAUAUGCUGUAUAUUUUCCUUCUUUUCUAUUUUUUCC